CGGAACGUGCCCAGUUGUGGGGGAUAGCCCGGCGAAAGCCGGAUUAAUACCGCAUACGACCUGAGGGUGAAAGCGGGGGAUCGCAAGACCUCGCGCAGUUGGAGCGGCCGAUAUCAGAUUAGCUAGUUGGUGGGGUAAAGGCUCACCAAGGCGACGAUCUGUAGCUGGUCUGAGAGGACGACCAGCCACACUGGGACUGAGACACGGCCCAGACUCCUACGGGAGGCAGCAGUGGGGAAUUUUGGACAAUGGGCGCAAGCCUGAUCCAGCCAUGCCGCGUGUGGGAAGAAGGCCUUCGGGUUGUAAACCACUUUUGUCAGGGAAGAAACGGCUUGAACUAAUACUUUGAGCUAAUGACGGUACCUGAAGAAUAAGCACCGGCUAACUACGUGCCAGCAGCCGCGGUAAUACGUAGGGUGCAAGCGUUAAUCGGAAUUACUGGGCGUAAAGCGUGCGCAGGCGGUUAUGCAAGACAGAUGUGAAAUCCCCGGGCUCAACCUGGGAACUGCAUUUGUGACUGCAUGACUAGAGUACGGCAGAGGGGGAUGGAAUUCCGCGU
rnacentral:rRNA from 1 species